rnacentral:rRNA from 1 species
UACAGAGGGUGCGAGCGUUGUUCGGAAUUACUGGGCGUAAAGCGCGCGUAGGCGGCUUUUCAAGUCAGACGUGAAAGCCCCAGGCUUAACCUGGGAAUUGCGUUUGAUACUGUUAGGCUAGAGUGUGGAAGGGGCUACUGGAAUUCCGUGUGUAGCGGUGAAAUGCGCAGAUAUCAGGAGGAACACCGGUGGCGAAGGCGGGUCUCUGGGCCGAUACUGACGCUGAGGAGCGAAAGCGUGGGGAGCGAACAGG